GAUGAACGCUGGCGGCGUGCCCAAUACAUGCAAGUCGAGCGAAUGGAUUAAGAGCUUGCUCUUAUGAAGUUAGCGGCGGACGGGUGAGUAACACGUGGGUAACCUGCCCAUAAGACUAGGAUAACUCCGGGAAACCGGGGCUAAUACCGGAUAACAUUUUGAACCGCAUGGUUCGAAAUUGAAAGGCGGCUUCGGCUGUCACUUAUGGAUGGACCCGCGUCGCAUUAGCUAGUUGGUGAGGUAACGGCUCACCAAGGCAACGAUGCGUAGCCGACCUGAGAGGGUGAUCGGCCACACUGGGACUGAGACACGGCCCAGACUCCUACGGGAGGCAGCAGUAGGGAAUCUUCCGCAAUGGACGAAAGUCUGACGGAGCAACGCCGCGUGAGUGAUGAAGGCUUUCGGGUCGUAAAACUCUGUUGUUAGGGAAGAACAAGUGCUAGUUGAAUAAGCUGGCACCUUGACGGUACCUAACCAGAAAGCCACGGCUAACCACGUGCCAGCCGCCGCAGUAA
rnacentral:rRNA from 1 species